UGAUACGUGGCCAAGUGGUAAGGCAGCGGGUUUUGUUCCCGUUACUUGGAGGUUUGAAUCCUUCCGUCCAAG
rnacentral:tRNA from 1 species